AGGUGUAGGUGUAGUGGGUGUACUGGGUGUAGGUGUAGCGGGUGUGGUGGGUGUACUGGGUGUAGGUGUUGUGGGUGUACUGGGUGUAGGUGUAGUGGAUGUUCUCGGUGUACUGGGUGUUGGUGUAGUGGGUGUUGUGGGUGUAGGUGUAGUGGGUGUACUCGGUGUAGGUGUAGUGGGUGUACUCGGUGUAGGUGUAGUGGGUGUAGGUGUUGUGGGUGUACUCGGUGUAGGUGUUGCGGGUGUUGCGGGUGUUGUGGGUGUUGUGGGUGUUGCGGGUGUUGCGGGUGUUGUGGGUGUUGUGGGUGUUGCGGGUGUUGCGGGUGUUGCGGGUGUUGUGGGUGUUGUGGGUGUUGGG
rnacentral:lncRNA from 1 species